AACAUUCGAGCUGCCUAGGAAACCACCAUUAGAACCACUACUAUUUUGGUAAGCUUCACCCUACUGUUUGUAUUAAACAAAAUUGUCACUUUAAGUUACUCUACACCGCCACAGAUGCCACCGAGGUCGUUGGUUCUUGUCAAGAGUACUAUUCUGGUUCUGAAUCGAUUAGUUCGUGCCACUGCUGCUGCUGAGAAGUGAU